GCAAAAUGAUUAACGCGUGCCUUAAGAAAAUAAAAACGUGUGCAUACCGAUCGGCUUUUCGCAAUGUGGAUUAGCUGAACUGCCUCACACACACACACACUGACACGUACAUAACUCUGUGACAAACACACACAAGCUUCUGCAUGGCCUGGAAACAAUAGAGCCGAUUCUGAGGGCUGGCCAAAAUCUGAUUAAUGCAGCAUGAAGUGGCUGACACAUCAGCAGUAUGGGUGCCAGAAAAGGAGGAUAUUACUGCAGCUUUGAGGCGGAUGUGUGAGUUCACUCAGCUAAGCGACAUCGCGGACGCUACGGCAUGGAGGUCGAGAAUAAGCGCUUACCCUCGUAAACGGCAGAGAAACCUUUUCCCACCCAGUUGCUGCUGCUGCGGAACUCAAUCCACAACCGACUGUCGGUGGAGAUGAUUGGCUCGGGCAGUUUGUCGCCACAAAAUCGGCCUGGAUCAAAGUGGCGGUUUCUGAUAUGGACCAUAUGGGCAGCCGUCCAGGGCGGCAUCCUGUGGGGGGGGGGGUGGCACACUGUGGAUCUCCUUGCCCACUUGCGAGGGCAUUACAGUAACAUAAAGGUCGCUUUGACAAAAAUAUUUUUACAUCAUCAUUGUUGUUUAAACGUAAGUCUGCUCGGUCUGCUUCAUGAACCAGUGCCACCAGACACGUUCAAGUCACCACCGCCGCUGUCAUGACUAUCACCAAGCAGGGCAUGACUGCUUCUCCUCUAUUUUUCAUUUUGAAAAGAAGUGGAUCUAAUCUCUGUCGUGUCUCAAAUGUCUCCCUGGGAUCCUGCCAAGUCGGACUUCCACGGGUUGGCUUCACAAAGAGAUGGUGUUACUUCAGAGUUGUUGCACUACGUUUGGCCAAUAAAUGCCUCUU